rnacentral:tRNA from 1 species
GGGGAUUUAGCUCAGUGGCAUAAGCACCUGCCUUGAAAGCAGGCAGUUGUGAGUUUGAUCCCUG